rnacentral:rRNA from 1 species
CUCCUACGGGAGGCAGCAGUGAGGAAUAUUGGUCAAUGGCCGGAAGGCUGAACCAGCCAAGCCGCGUGAAGGACGAAGGUGCCAAGCAUUGUAAACUUCUUUUGUCAAGGGACAAAAUCAGGCUCGAGAGCCUGACCGAGGGUACUUGAAGAAAAAGCAUCGGCUAACUCCGUGCCAGCAGCCGCGGUAAUACGGAGGAUGCGAGCGUUAUCCGGAUUUAUUGGGUUUAAAGGGUGCGUAGGCGGACUGUUAAGUCAGCGGUAAAAGCCUGGGGCUCAACCUCGGAGAGUGGUUGAAAGUGGUUG